rnacentral:misc_RNA from 1 species
UCCGGUUUGACACCGGCAGUCUCCUAUGAGUCCCCGACAUGACUCGCUGGCAACAUAGGAUAGGGGUUGCGCUCGUUGCGGGACUUAACCCAACACCUCACGGCACGAGCUGACGACAACCAUGCACCACCUGUAUAGGACGCCGAAGCACACCACAUCUCUGUGGCUUUUCCCUAUAUUUCAAGCCCUGGUAAGGUGGGGAUGACGUCUGCGUAACAGAA